GACACAGAUAAUCUCUCUAUACACUUGAGAAGCAAAAGUAACAGAUUCUUGUGUCUGUCGGCAGUCAAUUAACCAAAAUCUGGCAGACACAUUUGUUGUGAAGGAAACACAUUCAUUAACAAACGUCAAUGGUGUUGUUCCAGUGAUGUCUUCCCAUUGGGCAGGGGUGGUUCCUCCUGUUAUGCUGCAUAGUAACCUUAAAGUGGGUGUGUCACCUCCAUAACCAUUCAUGAUCCCAUCACUGGAGGCCUUGGGGACAGGAAUUGUCAUUGUAAUGGGUUUAUGGAACUUCCUCCUCCUGGGCUCCAGUGUGACUAUAGGACUGAAGGUAGCCUUGUUGCCCAAAAUCUUCUUUAUAAGUUCAGUAUGCAUAGGUUGAGCCUGGAGGCCAACACGAAUUCGUUUGGUUAAAGCCCCUUCUGGGAAGACUGCCUGCACUUGUGGUACAACAGUGCUGCUCAGCACACCUCCCUCAGGUCCAAUAAGGUUGCUGUCCUGUUUGAUUCGGGAAACCACUGCAAAGUACUGAGGGAAAUCACGAGUGAUGAUGCGGCAGAUACGUUUCUUCUCAAGCUCUUCUGGUGUGUCAAGUACUUCAUCCAUCCCAUUCAAGAUUUCAUUUAGUUCAUCCUCAGUGUAUUCGCAGAAAUGUUCCUUCCAGCUGUCCCCGUUCUCACUGCGCAGGAUCACCAGUUCUCUCUCUUUCCCACGCAGAGCAGCAAAAUGGGGAAUCUCCACAAUCACAG
rnacentral:lncRNA from 1 species